AAAGUUGCAAAACAGACAACACUAGAUUUUUGUGCAGUGGAAAAGGUGGAAACUUCAUGGUCAAAAGAUCUAGCGGAAUCCUCCAUGUUUUAUUACAGUUAUUCUCUUCCAUUUUCCCUACAUAGAUUUUUUAACGGACAUGGAUGCCAUGUUUCAAGGGAGAGCUCAACGAAUUAUCGGCAUGUCCUGCCGUGUUCUCUGCGCCAUGUUCUUGCCCGUGAUAUCCGGCCAGCGCAUGUUUCUCCUCACAUGAUUUUGUCCCUCGACAAACUCCGACAAACCCCACAACAGCGGCAAGCAUAGCUUUUACAAAAUCAGAAUUGAGAAAUAUAAUUAACUCCUUCCGAAGCAUGGCUCUCUGUUCUCUCUAAUUAUACUGAUACAUGGGAUACAAUUAACUCUCCGAAUCUUCGUCAAUUUGCUGUAGCAUUCCCUUGCUGUCUUCCCACUCCACAAUUCAUCACCGCCAGGUUGAGAGAAGCUGUUCAUCUUCCAUCGUUUUGGUAGGAGAUCGAAAGUAGAGUGAUCUUGGUUUUCUUAUUGUUCUUUUUUCUUCCUUUGCCAAUCUCUUGACAAAGACUGUCUCCUUAAAUUCUGUUUGCAUUUUUUUUGGGCUUUCUGGUGAGAAGGAAGCUUUAUUUGGUGUUGCAAGCUUCCAGUUAGCAUUUACGUGCAAAACAAGCCAAUGUUUUAUUGUUGAAAAUUUUAAUUUGGUUGGUGGGUUUUGCUCAUAUGGAUCCAGAAAGAGAAGGAUGAAGAGAGCUCCUGUUUUCCCUAAGAAUGAGAUCGCUGAUUGCAAUGAGCUUGGUUAUGAUGCUCAGUUGGAUUUCUCAAAGAUUUUGCAAAGUGCAACAUGAUGUCAGUAAAUGCCAAAUUUUCAAUUGAAGAGAAUGCUAGAGGAUUAUAGGUGCAUUCUAGCUUCUCAUUACUUAUGAUUGGGUUAUCCGAAUCUUGUGUCUGGUUUGUGUUUCAUUUUAAUCCGAAAGAUUUUAGGAGAAGAAAGAAAGCAUGCAAAUGAUGCGAAAUUCUCAUUGUCACCAUCGAACUCAGAAGAAAAGAAGGUUGAGGUUGAAGCUACAAAGAACAAAAAGUCAUGGAAAAGAUCAUUGUUCUUCUGGUUUAAGCUUGGCAAGAAGAGCUCAAAGCAGAGUGGAACAUUCAAAACCAAUUCCUCAAAUUGCUCUCAUGUUCCAAAUCAUAAACAUGGUCCAGUUUCAGGUCCAUUAUUUGGAAAUGGAGGUAACCUGGCUCUCAUCCAGCGUAGCAUUCGACGAUCGACAUCGGGGCCCCUUGCUCAUUGCUUCACUCCUACAAAAGCAGAAGAGAAUGAAGUACCUUACCUGCGUCUAGCCCAACAAAGUCAUCCUUCUGCUGUUCAGGCUUUUGGACCAAUUUACCUGGUCACAUAAGCGAAGAGAACCUUUUUCCAUGAACAUCUGAAUAUUGGAUCGCCAUUCUUCAGUAAUAGAAUAUAGGGUCAUUUUUUUCCCUUUUGGAAUA